UCCUCGAUACUGUUGUCUUUUGGCCGAUCACAGUAACAGAUGUCUCUUAAACUCGCACUUUACUUAGGCACGUACGAUUAGGCGAGGAAUUUAACCAUAUCGAACUAGAUUUUUCUUGGGAAAAGAAAUCUAUCAGAACUUGAGAAGGAGAUAUUAUAUUCAUUGUAACUGUUAGAAAUUCAAUUAAAACCACACACAAGAUGAUGGGAUUCAAAAUAAACUUGUUAUUCAUACUUGUUGUCUUUAGCAUGUUUAGCAUGGGCUACCAAUGUCCAUCAAAGCGAGAUGAAUAUUGUAACCUUAGGUUUGACUCUGGUCCUUGCCUUUCACGAUUGUCAAUACAGAAUGCAAGUUAUCAAUGGAGAUAUUGGUUUUCGACAGAAACCGAAGAUUGUCAUACUUUCAUGUACGGGGGCUGCGAUGGAAAUAAAAAUAAAUUUAUAAGUU